rnacentral:rRNA from 1 species
GACGUAGGAGGCGAGCGUUGUCCGGAUUCAUUGGGCGUAAAGAGCGCGCAGGCGGCUUGGUAAGUCGGAUGUGAAAUCCCGAGGCUCAACCUCGGGUCUGCAUCCGAUACUGCCCGGCUAGAGGUAGGUAGGGGGAGAUCGGAAUUCCUGGUGUAGCGGUGAAAUGACGCAGAUAUCAGGAGGAACACCGGUGGCGAAGGCGGAUCUCUGGGCCUUACCUGACGCUCAGGCGCGAAAGCUAGGGGAGCGAACGGG